GACUGUCCUCUUUCGUAACUAGAUGAACUAAUAUUAAAAAGAACUUCUUACAAAAUUCGAUUGAUCAUUCAGUUUGUAGAAGAAAUGUUUUUAGUUUUUUUAUGUUUUUUUUUGUCUAUCCCAGAAAGGAGAGACGAUUUUGGGUAUUUUUCGGCGAGGGAUAGGGAGGGCUGAUGAAAAAGUCAAAGUUUAAAUGUUUUACUUAAAAAAAAUCGCAUAUUUGUCGAUAAUCCAGAGAAGUCUUGCUUGUGGUAUGCUGAAAGUUCGAUGAUGUAUGUGAGUGGUGCUA